GGGAAGUGUUACUGCUGAGUUGUAUAGUAUUCUAGUGUUUCUUUUUUGUGUUGUGACCGUGACGCGAGAGAGGAAAGGACACACACAGUGGUGGUGAUAUAUGGUGCGCAGUGGAGGGCAGGGAUUGAGGUGCGUUGCCAGCCUUCCCUCUCCGCUCCCCACCCUUGCCCUGCCCUUCCCUUCACCUCCCACGUACAAGCACUCAGGUUGAAACGUGGCUAAGGUGAAGUAACGCCCCAACACACACACCUUUGAACGCCACCAACUCCAAG